CAUAGAUCUGGACGGAGAAUCAGGAAAACACGAAAGUAUGACAUAAUCACGACACCAGCAGAGCGAGUAGAAAUGGCUCCUUUGAAUGAGGAGAAUGAUGAUGAAGAGGACUCCACCAUCUUUGAUGUCAAGUACAGCAGAUGUAACUCUGUGUAACGGGUGUCGUCUUCUGAAGAGGAGGAAUCGGACCAAAGCGCAGCGUGGUGAAUGCCAGCAUUAAACAGAGGAUGUUGGAUUUUGAACCCACCAUUUUCUCCAGUGGAAACACAACCCAUGGAUAUGUUACGUAAAGCUGUUCCCCGAUGUAUUCAGUGUUUGGUAACGUCUGUCAAGUCUAGUCAAGCUACCCAUCUCACCCAAUAUUUUCAGAAGAGGUAGCUCGGUUGGCUUGUUUUCUAGAAUGUAUUCUGAUUGUGAACAUGCUGUAUUUACAAUCAUUUUGUACACAUCAUACACUUCUAAUACAGACGACUCAUCUUCAGAGGGAUACUGCGCCCAGCUAGCUCAGUAAAUGCAUAUCUUCUUUAAGCUAAAACUAAAUACAUAGAGAACAUUUGAUGGCUUCUGUGUAAAGGCAAUCCUCUGGCUGUCCUCUAAUGCUUAUGGUAUAUUAUUCACUGUAAUAUUAGAUGCAUUCCUCAGAUUAUUAGUUUCAUAUGUAUGGUUUGCACACUAAAGAAUACUUAUUUACUAGUCUGGUGCAAAUAUUAUUUUAAUUGGCAACUAUUCGGCUAUUCCAAAUAUUACACUAACCACUAAAAUAUGCAUACACUGUAAAUUGUCUGAGGCUUUCUGUCCUCCGUCCCUCGAUCUGGGGACCUAGUGAAUGAUCUGCAGAGAGCUGGGACCAAAGUAACACACUACGCCUUCCAGGGACUAAAAUCCUGCAGUGUCAGACGUGUACCCCUGCUUAAGCCAGUACAUGUCCAGGCCCGUCUGAAGUUUGCUAGAGAGCAUUUGGAUGAUCCAGAAGAAGAUUUGGAGAAUGUCAUAUGGUCAGAUGAAACCAAAAUAUAACUUUUUGGUAAAA